rnacentral:rRNA from 1 species
GAGUUUGUGGUGGAUGCCUUGGGUCUGAAAAGUCGAUGAAGGACGUGAUUACCUGCGAUAAGCCUCGUGGAGCCGGAAAUAUGCUAUGAAACGGGGAUUUCCGAAUGGGGAAACCUAACUAGGGUAAUGCCUAGUUGCCUUGUUCUGAAUUCAUAGGAACUUGAGUGAGACACCUUGUGAACUGAAACAUCUAAGGUACC